AUUGAACGCUGGCGGCAGGCCUAACACAUGCAAGUCGAGCGAGCGGCGGACGGGUGAGAAAUGUCUGGGAAACUGCCUGAUGGAGGGGGAACACAACUGGACACGGUCGCUAAUACCGCAUACCAUCAGAGGUGCCCAGAUGGGAUUAGCUAGUAGGUGGGGUAACGGCUCACCUAGGAGACGAUCCCUAGCUGGUCUGAGAGGAUGACCAGCCACACUGGUACUGCGCCACGGUCCAGCCCCCUCCGGUAGGCAGCAGUGGGGAUUAUUGCACAAUGGGCGCAAGCCUGAUGCAGCCAUGCCGCUUGGGUGACGAAGUCCUUCGGGUUGUAAAGCACUUUCAGCGGGGAGGCGUUACCCUCAGAAGAAGCACCGGCUAACUCCGUGCCAGCGGCCGCGGUAAUUC
rnacentral:rRNA from 1 species